UAAAAAAAUCCCCUCUGCGCCGGCCGGCGCCCGACGGCCCGAUUCAGCGCCUUCCGCCGGAGACCGCCCACCGCCGACGAGGGGCACGCCGGUGAUCUCCCCCAGCCCGCCUGCCCCUCUUUCAUCUCCGUUCUACUCCUUCUCUCUCGGCCCCCUCGAGCUCGCCUCGAUCCAUGGCCUCUCCUUAAACCUAGCUCCAGUCACGGCCACGACCGGCUUCGCAGCUCCCGGCCGCCAUCGCCUGCGCCUUCCCCCGUGUCUCCCUCACCUCGCCUGUGCAGCACCGUGGUUGUACAUCGCCAGCGCCAUCAGCUACAGCCCCGCUCUAAUCCACCUGCAAGCCAUGGACAGCGGCCUGGCUGCUCACUCGUCGCUGGCCUACCAGUACCUCCACCAACAUCUCAUCCAUCUAGAUCAGGGGCGCUUUAAUUUCAGCAGAUUUUCUUCUUCUUUGCAACAUGGAUAAUCCAGAUGUUUUCCUAUGCCUUGAGGAGUUGUUGAUGGAUGAUAUACAUAGGCUACCAGGUGGUAGCUCCAAUGUUGCAACUGAGGUCAGCAAUGGGUGCUUCUCCUGGGAUGGCUCACCUGAGAUACCAACAUUGAAGGAUCUGAAUUUUCAAGCUCGGCAAGGCAUGCGUGUUGCACUUUGUGGGACGGUCGGCUCUGGAAAAUCAAGUUUGAUCACUUGAAUUCUUGGUAUGGUGCCAAAGCUAUUAGGAGAGGCCAAGACUUGCGGAACAAUGGCAUAUGUCAGCCACAAGGCAUGGAUACAGAGCGGCAAAAUUCAGGAUAACAUACUGCUCGGCAAGGAGAUGGAGAGUGAGGAGUAUGGCAGGGUCCUUGAGUGGUAUUCGCUAAAGAAAUACUUGGAGAUCAAAAUCAUUGGAGAGUGAGGCUGCACUCUUAGUGGCAGGCAGAAACAAAGGAUUCAGAUAGCCCGAGCAUUGUGAUGUAUGCUGACAACUAUUUUGUUCCAUGAUCCGUUCAACGCAGUUGAUGCUCAUACAGGAUCCCAAUUUUCCAAGAAUCUUUGCUGAACUCCCUUGGUGUUAGUUGUUCUUGAACCGAAGAAACGUGCGGUCUGGAAUUGACAUCAUUCAGUUCCUUGAUGAAAACAAAGUUGCAUGUCCUUUUAGUCUAAACGUAAUAUUAUGCCUUGGAGCAUAUGAUGGGGGUCAAAUCGCAGUUAUGAACUGCAUUGCACGUGCAUGAAGGCGAAUGAUUUUUCUGGAUGCCAUUGCCAUCUGAUCGAUGGUUUCGCCGCGGUCGUCGGGAGAAAUAUCAUCGACGGUAGGGGAAAAGCGGGUAGGCUGAGGCGGGCACCCACACCAAGCGGCCGACCCACGAAGGCGGCCAUGCAGCUCCGCCUCGUGCCUCUCUCCCCAUCUUUAUGUUCGUGUCAAACCCAGCGCAAGGUAGAGGCAGAAGAGGAGGCCGGGAAGAGAAGCUGCAAGAGAAAGUUGUUGAAGUGGAAGAAGGUGAACCUGUAGAAGAGCUGAAAAAAGGACGUGGUAGAGACAAGGAAGCAAAGCCUAAACAGUAUAAUGAUUACUACCUCGCCCAGCCGCGCAUCCAAGACGCGGCGCUUGCUGGAAAGCUGGUCAAGUAGGUCCUCGACUGCGAGAUUUAGCUGAUUGAUCCUGUGCAUUAGCCUAAUUGUUACAAUAAACGAACUUACAACAAUGAUGCUUUCUAUAUUGAAUUCUUAUAUUCGACCUCACCAUUGCUUAGUUUCCUUUCCUGAUGUCAAGACACAAAGAAUUUGAGAUUCAAUUUAUCUUUUUUAGUUUUCACACUAGAGUGCUUCAUUUAUAUGUAUUACUGUAGACACAUGGGAAUCCUCAAGGUGUCAGGCUUGUUCUUAUUAUUGCUCAUGCAACC